GGAAACGGCCGCCGCAGGGUUGGCGGACUUGAGAAGGAGCAAAGAUGGCGGAGUGAGGUGGGCUGAGGUCCCCUGGCCUUUGGGCCAGGGGGAGGGCCGGACCACGGGCGCUCGAGUGCUUCUGCUGGCCCGUGCGAGGAAGAACAUUUUCCUUGACUUGUAGGUGCUUUUAUAUUCAUCUCGAAAAGAAAACAAAAUUCUGAACUCAGGAUUUGGCAAGUUUUGAAUCAGAACUGUCUCCUCUUCAACCAGAAGAGGUUAUUCAAGAUAUUUGCAGUUUAACAAGUGUGAUGUUUAACAGCAGUGAACUGCUAAUGUUUUUACAUGCUUGCAUUUGGCGAUCAUGCUACAGUAUUUCUAUGUUGUCUCCUGGAGUGGGGUUGUCCUGCUUCUUUUAUCGGGCCACCUUCCCUAUUCUUGAAAUGUGGAUAUCUCUUCUCUACACUUUACCUCCAUGAUUUGGACUGGAAAAGGCUGCUUUUCUUUUUGUUCCACCUCUCAGAUUCAAAGAAGAGAAGCCCCUGGGAUGCAGUCAUCCUGCUAACUUCUCUAGGAAGAAAGAAGCAACUGACAUGCAUCUUCUGCUUCAAUUUGCUUAAUCACAAAUAAUUUUACAAGCUGAAGGCUGAUAUCAUUUGAAACAGGUGCUUAGAUGGCGAUAUUUGUGAAUUCUAUGCCUUUUGUUCCAGACAAGAAGAUGAAAUAGCAAGCAUGCGUGACAUCAGGGUGUUUUUUUUAACGUCUUCCAGUUUUAGCCACUGUUGUGAUAAGCACAGUUGAGACUUGCAGCAGUAAAUUCCAAAUAUGUGUUCUAAUUUGAAGUGAAAGAGAUGCUUAAAAAAUUACAUAUAUAUCUAAUACCUGGCUCAUCCUUUGGCAUAGAUUUACUGGAUAAGAACAAAGGUCCAAUUUUGCAGUAAAACUUUUGAUGUGAUAAAGAAGCAUAAAGACAAGAUAUCACAAGUUGCAGAGCACAGGCUCCGGACGCGCAGGCUCAGCGGCCAUGGCUCAUGGGCCCAGCCCCUCUGCGGCAUGUGGGAUCUUCCUGGACC